CAACCUGCCGCUUACUCGGGGAUAGCCUUUCGAAAGAAAGAUUAAUACCCGAUGGUAUAAAGAGUUCGCAUGUUCUCUUUAUUAAAGAAUUUCGGUAAGCGAUGGGGAUGCGUUCCAUUAGAUUGUUGGCGGGGUAACGGCCCACCAAGUCUACGAUGGAUAGGGGUUCUGAGAGGAAGGUCCCCCACAUUGGAACUGAGACACGGUCCAAACUCCUACGGGAGGCAGCAGUGAGGAAUAUUGGUCAAUGGACGAGAGUCUGAACCAGCCAAGUAGCGUGAAGGAUGACUGCCCUAUGGGUUGUAAACUUCUUUUAUAAGGGAAUAAAGUGAGGGACGUGUCCCUUUUUGUAUGUACCUUAUGAAUAAGGAUCGGCUAACUCCGUGCCAGCAGCCGCGGUAAUACGGAGGAUCCAAGCGUUAUCCGGAUUUAUUGGGUUUAAAGGGAGCGUAGGUUGACAUAUAAGUCAGCUGUGAAAGUUUACGGCUCAACCGUGAAAUUGCAGUUGAUACUGUAUGUCUUGAGUGUACAAGAGGUGGGCGGAAUUCGUGGUGUAGCGGUGAAAUGCUUAGAUAUCACGAAGAACUCCGAUUG
rnacentral:rRNA from 1 species